CUUGUACUUAUCUACUGUGGAGUCAUUGUAAGAACCAGGGCCUGGCACCUUCAUCUUGUCUUCAUCAGGCAGAGGCCGUGCAGACAUAGUAAAGCUUGGGGCUGAAUGUUUGGAGCCUUCCUUGGUGGAACCCAGCAGGGAUGAUUCAAACCCGGAAUUCCUGAUUGCUAGUUGGGAAUGAACCCAACUAUACUACUGGUGCCUGAGGGCCACUAUCUCUAGUGUCUACAAGAGGGCAAGAAGUCAGCAGCUUGUCAAAAGGUCUCUGCACCCCCAUUUGUGCUGAUUUUAUUCAGCUGGACCUCUAAGCUCAGCAGUGUUUUGGGUUUUACAACUUUGGCAGUAGCAAAAAACUACAUCUAGUAUUGGGUCUCUGCACAAAGAAGAUGAAUACAUGUAACAAUAUAUACGCUGGUGAGCAGCCUUUACCUGGAGCAUCAGAAGGCCUUCCAUCUUCAGUCUUGACACCAAAGGAGAAG